CAAGAAGAAGAGGCACUGGUGAGCCUUCUUGACCAGCUUGGAGCAGUUGGUCGUCCAGCAAACAAGCCUGCAGAUAUCAAUGUUCCAGACACCUACCGUCCAGCAACCUUGGCCAAACACAACAAGACCCUACAAACUUUGUUUAAAAGAAAAAACCACCAGGUUCUCUAAGCUCCUGGAUUUGGAAUUUUCAGCCAGAAGAGCAUUCAUUGAUUCAAAUACUAUUCACGAGGAGGACAGACACAAAAAGGUUCUAGAAGCAUAUCCUUGCUUCAAGGACAUUGGACAUGUGAUGGAAGAGCUUCAUCGCAUUUUGGAUAAAGAUAAUGUCAACUUCAUCAAUGAACUGAAGGAAAGAUGGCAUGAUUUCUGCCAGAAGGUGCAGUUUUUUGGUGUAUGGAAAUGCUGAAACCCCCAAUGGGAAUGGAUAAAGCUGAACAGGCUCUCGAGAUCCUAUGUGUGCUGCCAUCAUUGUUCCCAUCCACCUCUGCCCCUCCAAAGAGGGUACGAGAUGCAAGUGAGGCUCUGGUGCAUGUCCUUCAGGUAUGAUCCAGGGACAUGAUGGAGAGUUUAAAGACGCGGCUCGAGUUCCCCAGCCCUGUCAUACAAGCCCAGGAGUUGCUGUUGGAUGAGCUGGUGAUGGGCGUGGCCUUGCUCUUGUUGGAAACCCCUUCAGAUCAGCUGACCAGCCUUCUCAGACUUGCACUGAGUUUGGUCCCUGAACAGGCGGAGGCGUCGCCCUGGUUGAGUCCGGUCCUGAUUCUCCCUGUGUUGCAGUUCCUGUCCUGCUUGGGUCUCACUGAGCCGCUGUCUGACCAGAACACACACAGCACCAACCACAGGCUGGCUCACAGCCUGCUGCGCAGCAUCAGCAGGCCCGCAGAUAAACCCCAGCAGGUAGCCUAGCAGUUAGCCUAGCAGGUAACACAACAGGUAACCCAGCAGGUAGCCUAGCAGUUAGCCCAGCAGGUAACCCAGCAGGUAGCCUAGCAGUUAGCCUAGCAGGUAACACAACAGGUAG